GGUGUAGCUCAGUUUGGUAGAGCGCUUGGUUCGGGACCAAGAGGCCGUGGGUUCAAGUCCCG
rnacentral:tRNA from 1 species